AGUGAACGCUGGCGGUAGGCCUAACACAUGCAAGUCGAACGGCAGCACAGUAAGAGCUUGCUCUUACGGGUGGCGAGUGGCGGACGGGUGAGGAAUACAUCGGAAUCUACUUUUUCGUGGGGGAUAACGUAGGGAAACUUACGCUAAUACCGCAUACGACCUACGGGUGAAAGCAGGGGAACUUCGGACCUUGCGCGAUUGAAUGAGCCGAUGUCGGAUUAGCUAGUUGGCGGGGUAAAGGCCCACCAAGGCGACGAUCCGUAGCUGGUCUGAGAGGAUGAUCAGCCACACUGGAACUGAGACACGGUCCAGACUCCUACGGGAGGCAGCAGUGGGGAAUAUUGGACAAUGGGCGCAAGCCUGAUCCAGCCAUACCGCGUGGGUGAAGAAGGCCUUCGGGUUGUAAAGCCCUUUUGUUGGGAAAGAAAAGCAGCAGGUUAAUACCCCGCUGUUCUGGCGGUACCCAAAGAAUAAGCACCGGCUAACUUCGUG
rnacentral:rRNA from 1 species